UACGUAGGGUGCGAGCGUUAAUCGGAAUACUGGGCGUAAAGCGUGCGCAGGCGGUUUUGUAAGCCAGAUGUGAAAUCCCCGGGCUUAACCUGGGAAUGGCAUUUGGGACUGCAAGGCUGGAGUGCGGCAGAGGAGACUGGAAUUCCGCGUGUAGCAGUGAAAUGCGUAGAUAUGCGGAGGAACACCGAUGGCGAAGGCAAUCCCCUGGGCCUGCACUGACGCUCAUGCACGAAAGCGUGGGGAGCAAACAGG
rnacentral:rRNA from 1 species